CCCUUAGAUGUCCUGGGCUGCACGCGCGCUACACUGAAAGUUACGGAUUGACUUUUUACCUUGUCCGAAAUGGUCCGGGUAAUCACCUAAAAGCUUGUCAUAAUUGGAAUGGAUUAUUGUAACUAGUAAUCCUGAACGAGGAAUUCCUAGUAAGCGCGAGUCAUCAGCUCGUGCUGAUUACGUCCCUGCCCUUUGUACACACCGCCCGUCGCUGCAACUGAUUGGGUGACCUGGUGAACAUCUUGGACCGGCCCACUCAAUUUCGAGAGGACUGGAAAAGGCCGUAAAUCAGGUACAUCUAGAAAUUGCAAAAGUCGUAACA
rnacentral:rRNA from 1 species